GAAUGACACAAUCCUGUGUUAGGUUCUCCCUUUGCCAACAUUUAGACCAGAAGGCCCGGCUGUCCUGCCCUCUCCCACCAUGAGUGUCAGCCUCCUGUGCUGGGGGGCCUUUUCUUUCCUGUUUGCAGGUGCAGCACAUGCUGGUGUCACUCAGAACCCCACAUUCCAGAUCCUGAAGAAAGGACAGAAACUGAUGAUAAUUUGUGCCCAGGACAUGAACCACAACAACAUGUACUGGUACCGCCAGGACCCAGAAAUGGGCCUGAAGCUGAUUCAUUAUUCAGUGGGCAAAGACAUCACUGAUAAAGGAGAAGUCCCUGAUGGGUAUAAUGCAUCUAGACCAAGCACAGAGAACUUCCUGCUCACUGUGGAGUCAGCUGCCCCCUCGCAAACAUCUGUGUACUUCUGUGCCAGCAGUGAUCCACAGCUGUAA